GCUGGCGGCGUGCCUAACACAUGCAAGUCGCGCGAGAAAAGGGGGGCAACUCCCUGAGUAAAGCGGCGAACGGGUGAGUAACACGUAGGUGACCUACCUUCGAGUCUAGAAUAACCUACCGAAAGGUGGGCUAAUGCCGGAUAUGACCACGGGGACUUCGGUCUCUGCGGUGAAAGGUGGCCUCUGCUUGCAAGCUACUGCUCGAAGAUGGGCCUGCGCGCCAUUAGCUAGUUGGUGAGGUAACGGCCCACCAAGGCAAUGAUGGCUAGCUGGUCUGAGAGGAUGGCCAGCCACACUGGGACUGAAACACGGCCCAGACUCCUACGGGAGGCAGCAGUGGGGGAUAUUGCGCAAUGGGCGAAAGCCUGACGCAGCGACGCCGCGUGGGUGAUGAAGGCCUUCGGGUCGUAAAGCCCUGUCGAGGGGAAAGAAACGGCUCCGACCCAAUACGUCGGGGCCCUGACGGUACCCCUAAAGGAAGCACCGGCUAACUCCGUGCCAGCAGCCGCGGUAAUACGGAGGGUGCGAGCGUUGUUCGGAAUCACUGGGCGUAAAGGGCGUGUAGGCGGUUCGCUAAGUCUGAUGUGAAAGCCCGGGGCUCACCCCCGGAAGUGCAUUGGAAACUGGCGGACUCGAGUCCCGG
rnacentral:rRNA from 1 species